UUGAACGCUGGCGGCAGGCCUAACACAUGCAAGUCGAGCGCGAAAGGUUUUCGGACUGAGUAAAGCGGCGGACGGGUGAGUAACGCGUGGGAAUCUGCCCAGUAGUGGGGGACAACAGUCGGAAACGACUGCUAAUACCGCAUACGCCCUACGGGGGAAAGGGGGGGAUCUUCGGACCUCUCGCUAUUGGAUGAGCCCGCGUCGGAUUAGCUAGUUGGUAGGGUAAAGGCGUACCAAGGCUACGACCCGUAACUGGUCUGAGAGGAUGAUCACUCAAAAUGGAACUGAGACACGGUCCAGCCUCCUAAGGGGGGCAGAAGUGGAGAAUAUUGGACAAUGGGGGCAACCCGGAUCCAGCCAUGCCGGGUGUGUGAAGAAGGCCUUAAGGUUGUAAAGCGCUUUCAGUGUGGAGAAAGGUUUGUCACCUAAUACGUGAUGAAAUUGAUGUUACCCACAGAAGAAGCACCGGCUAACUCCGUGCCAGCCGCCGCCGUAA
rnacentral:rRNA from 1 species